rnacentral:rRNA from 1 species
GAUGGACUCGCGGCCUAUCAGCUUGUUGGUGGGGUAAUGGCCUACCAAGGCGACGACGGGUAGCCGGCCUGAGAGGGUGACCGGCCACACUGGGACUGAGACACGGCCCAGACUCCUACGGGAGGCAGCAGUGGGGAAUAUUGCACAAUGGGCGAAAGCCUGAUGCAGCGACGCCGCGUGAGGGAUGACGGCCUUCGGGUUGUAAACCUCUUUCAGCUCUGACGAAGCUUUUGUGACGGUAGGAGCAGAAGAAGCACCGGCUAACUACGUGCCAGCAGCCGCGGUAAUACGUAGGGUGCGAGCGUUGUCCGGAAUUAUUGGGCGUAAAGAGCUUGUAGGCGGUUUGUCGCGUCUGCUGUGAAAUCCCGGGGCUUAACUCCGGGCUUGCAGUGGGUACGGGCAGGCUAGAGUGUGGUAGGGGAGACUGGAAUUCCUGGUGUAGCGGUGAAAUGCGCAGAUAUCAGGAGGAACACCGAUGGCGAAGGCAGGUCUCUGGGCCACUACUGACGCUGAGAAGCGAAAGCGUGGGGAGCGAACAGGAUUAGAUACCCUGGUAGUCCACGCCGUAAACGUU